GGCUAUUUAAGGUAUAUCUCGGGGAAGUUUCAGGAUUUUUAGAUGGGCGUAGAGGCAUGUUUGGAAAACAAAACCAGUGAGGCCACUGGGAUAGGCCCGCACCAUUGGGGCUAGUCCAUUGGGAUAAGCCCCAUAUCGCCUGGGAUAGUACACCAGAACAGGUCUGUGUCGCCUAGUCCAUUCCACCAGUAGAAAGGCCACAUCCCCC
rnacentral:lncRNA from 1 species